AGUUGUGUCUAUUACUUUUUUAUCCUGUCUCGUCAGUGCUUAUGAUUUUCUGAUUGCGAAUUGCAGAACAAAAACGACGUCAAUUAACGAAAGGUUGGCCGCAAUCGCGUGGUUGUUUUAUAAAGUAGCUGGGUAUGCACCUGUCGAGCCCGAAUACAGUGUGAAGUGUGUACCGGAGUGACUCUAAUACAACUUACCAACCAGAGCAAACGAAACUGUAUUUUUUUCAGUUAUAUCUGGCGACUAUCUUAUAUAAUGGAAGAAAUAAUACAUUACUUAACAUUGUUAAAACUGUAACUACGUGACAUAAUUCUGAUAUGUUUGGAUUAUAUUAUAUGUUUCGCAGCAGUGGCGACGGGUCCAUAUGACCGAUUCCUGUCGGCUUCCUUUAAUAUAGAAUGUAUAUAGAAUCUAAUUAUCAUUAAAACGAUUUGCAAACCACAUUAAUUCAUAGUAGUACUUGUAUGUUGCGUCGGAUUCUCUUUCGGAAAAUUUCACCUUUCUCCAAUGUUUACCAGACUCAAGUAUUCUUUAUUUUGCUUAUAAUGAUGGCUUAUUUUGCUUGUAUCUUAAAAUGUCUAAGAAACCUUUUGCAUUAUAUUUGGCAGAAUCUAUGAAUAUAAAGUUUUAGAGAAUAGUUCGGUAGUUGACCUGAAAUCAGGUUAGGAGUGUGAUUCUAAGAUUCAAAGUAAUAAAAAUUCGGAAAUGGGAUGGAUGGUUUCAACAACAAAGGAGAACAGUCAAACCUUUCAAGAAUUGUUAAUAUAGAUUUUACAAGUAUUGUAUAUAGAAUCUAAAUGUUUACUUCUAGAAUUUUGUGUACUAAAUCUUAUUCAGAACAAAAAAAUAAUUGAUAUAAACCAAUAUUUACCCAU